GCCUGGGUGGCGAAAUUGGUAGACGCAAGGGACUUAAAAUCCCUCGGCUUCGGCCAUGCGGGUUCGAGUCCCGCCCCAGGCACCA
rnacentral:tRNA from 1 species